rnacentral:rRNA from 1 species
CGGCAACAGCUCAAAUUUGAAAUCUGGCCCUCGCGGUCCGAGUUGUAAUUUGUAGAGGAUGCUUUUGGUGCGGUGCCUUCCGAGUUCCCUGGAACGGGACGCCAUAGAGGGUGAGAGCCCCGUCUGGUUGGACGCCAAACCUCUGUAAAGCUCCUUCGACGAGUCGAGUAGUUUGGGAAUGCUGCUCAAAAUGGGAGGUAUAUGUCUUCUAAAGCUAAAUACCGGCCAGAGACCGAUAGCGCACAAGUAGAGUGAUCGAAAGAUGAAAAGCACUUUGAAAAGAGGGUUAAAUAGUACGUGAAAUUGUUGAAAGGGAAGCGUUUGUGACCAGACUUGGGCUCGGUGAAUCAUCCGGCGUUCUCGCCGGUGCACUUCGCCGGUCCAGGCCAGCAUCGGUUCGCUCGCGGGGGAUAAAGGCGUCGGGAAUGUGGCUCCUCGGAGUGUUAUAGCCCUUCGCACAAUACCCUGCGGUGGACCGAGGUUCGCGCAUCUGCAAGGAUGCUGGCGUAAUGGUCAUCAACGACCCGUCUUGAAACACGGACCAAGGAGUCGUCUUCGUAUGCGAGUGUUCGGGUGUCAAACCCCUACGCGUAAUGAAAGUGAACGGAGGUGAGAGCUACGGCGCAUCAUCGACCGAUCCUGAUGUUCUCGGAUGGAUUUGAGUAAGAGCAUACGGGGCCGGACCCGAAAGAAGGUGAACUAUGCCUGUAUAGGGUGAAGCCAGAGGAAACUCUGGUGGAGGCUCGCAGCGGUUCUGACGUGCAAAUCGAUCGUCAAAUAUGGGCAUGGGGGCGAA